rnacentral:rRNA from 1 species
AACUUUUAACAACGGAUCUCUUGGUUCUCGCAUCGAUGAAGAACGUAGCAAAGUGCGAUAACUAGUGUGAAUUGCAUAUUCAGUGAAUCAUCGAGUCUUUGAACGCAUCUUGCACUCAUUGGUAUUCCAAUGAGUACGCCUGUUU